ensembl:lincRNA Gm37800 predicted gene, 37800
GCUGCCUCUGACACGGGUCACGUGGUUCUCCCAGGUGUUCCACGUAUAUGCAGGUGCCUGAGGCGGUCAGAGCAAUUCUCUGGAGCUGGAGUUACAGGCAGUUGUGAGCCACUUGGUGUGGGCUCUGGAAACUGAAACCGGGGUCCUCUGGAAGAGCAUCGUGAGCUCUUAGCCUCUGAGUCAUCUCUCCAGCCCCACAAGCAUCGAACAUUAAUUUAACCAAGCAUGGUUCAUCAAAAAUGUAGAGACAGGGGAACGCUCAGUUGCUUGGAUGAUAUCUGAGGGAGCAGAGACUGUGGAGGAAGUAGAGAAGGAAACACUUCCGGAGCAUGUGGGAACUAAGAACACCCCAAAUGGAGAAGCGCCUGUGUUCAUGGCACCCUGUUAUUUGGGGACCUGGUGGCUUCUGCCUCUCUCCUGGGAUAGAGAGAGUCCUCUUCAGUCAUAAAGUCACAUGAUGAACUGUAGACUGGGAUCAGAUGGUAACCCUUCCACUACCACAUCUGCUCACAUGAAAGCAAAGUGCUGGUACCCUUAAGUGCACCGCAUGUCU